rnacentral:rRNA from 1 species
GACGAACGCUGGCGGCAUGCUUAACACAUGCAAGUCGAACGGAAAGGCCCUGCUUUUGUGGGGUGCUCGAGUGGCGAACGGGUGAGUAACACGUGAGUAACCUGCCCUUGACUUUGGGAUAACUUCAGGAAACUGGGGCUAAUACCGGAUAGGAGCCCCUGCUGCAUGGUGGGGGUUGGAAAGUUUCGGCGGUUGGGGAUGGACUCGCGGCUUAUCAGCUUGUUGGUGGGGUAGUGGCUUACCAAGGCUUUGACGGGUAGCCGGCCUGAGAGGGUGACCGGCCACAUUGGGACUGAGAUACGGCCCAGACUCCUACGGGAGGCAGCAGUGGGGAAUAUUGCACAAUGGGCGGAAGCCUGAUGCAGCAACGCCGCGUGCGGGAUGACGGCCUUCGGGUUGUAAACCGCUUUCGCCUGUGACGAAGCGUGAGUGACGGUAAUGGGUAAAGAAGCACCGGCUAACUACGUG